AGUGAACGCUGCCGGUAGGCCUAACACAUGCAAGUCGAACGGCAGCACAGUAAGGGCUUGCUCUUACGGGUGGCGAGUGGCGGACGGGUGAGGAAUACAUCGGAAUCUACUUUUUCGUGGGGGAUAACGUAGGGAAACUUACGCUAAUACCGCAUACGACCUACGGGUGAAAGCAGGGGAUCUUCGGACCUUGCGCGAUUGAAUGAGCCGAUGUCGGAUUAGCUAGUUGGCGGGGUAAAGGCCCACCAAGGCGACGAUCCGUAGCUGGUCUGAGAGGAUGAUCAGCCACACUGGAACUGAGACACGGUCCAGACUCCUACGGGAGGCAGCAGUGGGGAAUAUUGGUCAAUGGGCGCAAGCCUGAUCCAGCCAUACCGCGUGGGUGAAGAAGGCCUUCGGGUUGUAAAGCCCUUUUGUUGGGAAAGAAAAGCAGCAGGUUAAUACCCCGCUGUUCUGACGGUACCCAAAGAAUAAGCACCGGCUAACUUCGUG
rnacentral:rRNA from 1 species